GGGCCGUUAGCUCAAUUGGUAGAGCAACUGACUCUUAAUCAGUAGGUUCGGGGUUCGAGACCCUGACGGCCCACCA
rnacentral:tRNA from 5 species